GACGAACGCUGGCGGCGUGCUUAACACAUGCAAGUCGAACGCAGUGGCGAACGGGUGAGUAACGCGUAAUCAACCUGCCCUUCCGAGGGGGACAACAGUUGGAAACGACUGCUAAUACCGCAUACUGAAGGAGGGGAUUGCGUCUGAUUAGCCAGUUGGUGGGGUAACGGCCCACCAAGGCGAUGAUCCGUAGCCGGUGUGAGAGGAGGAGCGGCCACAUUGGGACUGAGACACGACCCAGACUCCUACGGGAGGCAGCAGUAGGGACUCUUCCGCAAUGGACGAAAGUCUGACCGAGCAACGCCGCGUGAGUGAUGACGGCCUUCGGGUUGUAAAGCUCUGUUAAUCGGGACGCGGUACCGGAAUAGAAAGCCACGGCUAACUACGUGCCAGCAGCCGCGGUAAUAC
rnacentral:rRNA from 1 species